AUGGUCAACGUACCUAAAACCCGAAGAACCUUCUGUAAGAAGUGUGGCAAGCAUCAGCCUCACAAAGUGACACAGUAUAAGAGCAAGGAUUCCUUGUAUGCCCAGGGAAAGAGGCGCUAUGAUCGGAAGCAGAGUGGCUAUGGUGGGCAGAGAAGGCCAGUUUUCCUGAAGAAGGCUAAGACCACAAAGAAGACUGUGCUAAGGCCAGAAUGUGUUGAGCCUAACUGCAGAUCCAAGAGGAUGGUGGUCAUUCAGAGAUGUAAGCAUUUUGAACCGGGAGGAGAUAAGAAGAGAAAGGGCCAAGAGAUCCAGUUCUAA
rnacentral:lncRNA from 1 species